CAGGAUGAACGCUAGCGGCAGGCUUAACACAUGCAAGUCGAGGGGCAGCGGGUUGUAGCAAUACAAUGCCGGCGACCGGCGAAAGGGUGCGUAACGCGUGAACAAUCUGCCCGUAUCCGGGACAUAAGCGAUGGAAACGUCGUCUAAUUUCCCAUAACAACGAGGGCCGCAUGACCCAUGUUUGAAAGAUUCGUCGGAUACGGAUGAGUUCGCGAGACAUUAGCUAGUCGGCGUGGUAACGGCACACCGAGGCGACGAUGUCUAGGGGUUCUGAGAGGAAGGUCCCCCACACUGGAACUGAGACACGGACCAAACUCCUACGGGAGGCAGCAGUGAGGAAUAUUGGUCAAUGGGCGCGAGCCUGAACCAGCCAAGUAGCGUGCAAGGAUGACGGCCCUAUGGGUUGUAAACUGCUUUUAUGCGGGGAUAAAGUGCGGCACGUGUGCCGUUUUGUAGGUACCGCAUGAAUAAGGACCGGCUAAUUCCGUGCCAGCCGCAGC
rnacentral:rRNA from 1 species